UACGUAGGGUGCGAGCGUUAAUCGGAAUUACUGGGCGUAAAGCGUGCGCAGGCGGUUCGUUGUGUCCGUCGUGAAAGCCCGGGCUUAACCUGGGAACUGCGAUGGAACUAGCGAGCUGGAGUGUGGCAGAGGGGGUGGAAUUCCGCGUGUAGCAGUGAAAUGCGUAGAGAUGCGGAGGAACACCGAUGGCGAAGGCAGCCCCUGGGCUAACACUGACGCUCAGGCACGAAAGCGUGGGGAGCAAACAGG
rnacentral:rRNA from 1 species